CCUACGGGGGGCAGCAGUGGGGAAUAUUGCACAAUGGGGGAAACUCUGAUGCAGCGACGCCGCGUGAGUGAAGAAGUAAUUCGUUACGUAAAGCUCUAUCAGCAGGGAAGAAAAUGACGGUACCUGAGUAAGAAGCCCCGGCUAACUACGUGCCAGCAGCCGUGGUAAUACGUAGGGGGCAAGCGUUAUCCGGAUUUACUGGGUGUAAAGGGAGCGUAGACGGUGCGCCAAGUCUGAAGUGAAAUGCCGGAGCUUAACUGCGGAACUGCUUUGAAAACUGGCGAACUAGAGUGCGGGAGGGGUAAGCGGAAUGUCUAGUGUAGCGGUGAAAUGCGGAGAUAUUAGAAGGAACACCGGUGGCGAAGGCGGCUUACUGAACCAUAACUGACGUUGAGGCUCGAAAGCGUGGGGAGCAAACAGGAUUAGAUACCCUAGUAGUC
rnacentral:rRNA from 1 species